rnacentral:rRNA from 1 species
CCUGACUGCUAUCGGAUUGAUACUAAGCCAUGCUAGUCUUUGUAGUAAUACAAGGCAUACGGCUCAGUAACGCGUAGUCAACCUACCCUAUGGACGGGGAUAAUCUCGGGAAACUGAGCAUAAUACCCGGCAGACCACUUAUCCUGGAAUGGUUAGUGGUUAAAAUGAUUCGUCGCCAUAGGAUGGGACUGCGGCCUAUCAGCUUGUUGGUGAGGUAAUGGCCCACCAAGGCGAUUACAGGUACGGGCUCUGAGAGGAGAGGCCCGGAGAUGGGUACUGAGACAAGGACCCAGGCCCUAUGGGGCGCAGCAGGCGAGAAAACUUUGCAAUGUGCGAAAGCACGACAAGGUUAAUCCGAGUGAUUUCUGCUAAAGGAAUCUUUUGUUAGUUCUAAAAAUACUAGUGAAUAAGGGGUGGGCAAGUUCUGGUGUCAGCCGCCGCGGUAAAACCAGCACCUCAAGUGGUCAGGAGGAUUAUUGGGCCUAAAGCAUCCGUAGCCUGUUCUAUAAGUUUGCGGUUAAAUCUAUACGCUCAACGUAUAGGCUGCCGUAAAUACUGUAGAACUAGGGAGUGGGAGAGGUAGACGGUACUCGAUAGGAAGGGGUAAAAUCCUUUGAUCUAUUGAUGACCACCUGUGGCGAAGGCGGUCUACCAGAACACGUUCGACGGUGAGGGAUGAAAGCUGGGGGAGCAAACCGGAUUAGAUACCCGGGUAGUCCCAGCUGUAAACGAUGCAGACUCGAUGAUGCAAUGGCAUAGAGCUAUUGCAGUAUCGCAGGGAAGCCGUUAAGUCUGCCGCCUGGGAAGUACGUACGCAAGUAUGAAACUUAAAGGAAUUGGCGGGGGAGCACCACAAGGGGUGAAGCCUGCGGUUC